UACCUGAGGGAAAGGAAGCAGGGAUGAGUGUGCUAGCUCUGACCUCAUCCCCACCACCUUCGGUGAGCUGAAGAAUGACUGUGUAAUAUAAGGGAUAUACAUGGAAAAUUAGAGUUGUGCAUUGUGCACAGAGUCUACAUGAGUACAUGCGAUCUCCCUACUUCAGGCAAUCUGCCUUCAAGUCUUGGAAGAGUAACAGUAAUGAAGAUGGGCAGAAUUUGCACACCUGAUGAGUGGAACAUCUCAUAAUGUGAUGGAAGUGCUCUCCAGGUAGUGGUAUGCACUGAACACACCUGCUGGGCCUGGUGUUCUGCAAUGCAGAAGCAGCAUCUCUUGGGGAUAAGAUCUUGUUGGAUCUCAAAAGACGGAAAUAUGACGGAAGACUCUAGUGGAACUGAGGGUGGCAAGGGAACCCCAAUCAGAACAGAAGCUGACCUGCAGCAGAACAGAACCAACACAACAUCUCACAAAUACAGAGUAGAAGAGAAAAUGAUGCCUUCACA